AAUAUCCAAGAGGCAUUUGCAGACACUUGUGACAUCACAGGAGAAGCUAGGGCUCUCCAGGAUACAAGAGAUUUUUCAUGGAGGGCCUAAUGAUGAAUGUCUCUGAGAACUGCCAUGGCCUACCUGUAAACAGCUUUCUUUACAUUGACCAGUUUCAAGAGUGCCUUUCCAGGUCUCCAGUCUUUCCAAUUCUCCUCCAAAUGUGUUGGAGAAGACCCCUCUGGUCGAGGGGAGGUACAACAAGCCCCAUCAAACAAAAUGGUCUCCACAUCUUCUUCUCUUAAAGUCUUGACCUAGAUGCGCAGAAUUCAUGUUAAAAUUCCAGCUAAAAUUAUAGCUGUAGGAGCCAACAAAAGUACAUAUAUAUACAUCAGCCACCGAAACUACACAAGAUUGAUGGAGAUUUUAAAAAAAGAUUACAAGAGCUGAAGGGCUUUAACACUACAAGAACAACAAUGCCAAUGAACCAGAGCUUUCUGAUACUAGAACAAUAUUCAAAGAAUGUACAUGGACAGAGCUAUGGCUCCAACUGCAUAUGUGGAAGAGAAUAGACUUUGUGGGCACCAAUGGAAGGAGAAGUCCUUGGUCCUCCCUAGGUUUGACUCCAAGUUCAAGGUAAUGUCAAGGGGUAAUAAGGAGGGUUAUAGCAGAAGGGCAGGGUAACGAGUAAAUGAUCUUUUAGGCAGGAAACUGGGAAAGGAAAUAACAUUUUAAAUGAAAAUAUAGAAACAUCCAGUUAAAAAAAGCAAUAAAAUUUGCUAAAAAAUGAAAGACAUAAAAUAAAAGUAAACUGCCAACUAAUUAUACCUGUUGACUUGGAAAUCUACAAUGAUAGUCAGAGUAAUACAAGUGGUAAGACUAAGAUGAUGAUAUCUGAACUAGAGCACUUCUCUCUCCCAGAUAGAAGUAUCAGACAGAAACUGCACUAUAGGUAUCCAAAACAUUGAAGAGUUUACUCUGAGCUGCGGACAUAAUGCUUGUUCUUCCCAUCUUCCUAAGUAACUUUCUCUUUUUGAGAAAAAGUAUAAAGUCCAUGACCUGUCAGGGAUACAAAUGUGCCAUUCACAACACUUGACUUUGGAAUAAAGGAAUGAAUGAUAUAAACUCUCUGACUUCCAGAAAGCAAAAGAAAAGGAAGUCCAGAUGCUUCUGAGAGGCUCCCGGCUCCUAAUUCCCUUAUGUGGAAGGCGAAGAUAAAGGCUAUCUCUUCAGAGUUACCCCUCAACACCUAACAAGGACAUACUAAACUUUCCAAAGCACCACAUAAUUUUCCCUGUUUUUUUAUACCAAGACAGAAGGCCAGCUUCCUUCUCUCCAUUUCAUAUCCUUCAUCCUCUUUUUUCUCACUUCCAAAUUGUCUCUGAAUUAGGCCAAAUAGUAAACCUUAGAGGUAUUGAAGGAAAAUCUGAGAGGCAGUUGCAGUCAUGACAACAGAAGGAGCUAGGGGUCACCAGAUUAUAAGAGAGUUUUCAGGCAGCUUCUAAUGAUAAUGUCACUGAGCACUACCGUGAUCUACAUGCUGAACACUUCCUUACAUUGACCAGAUUCAAGAGUACCUUUCCCAGGUAUGUCUCAGGAAACACAGUGGAAACCUGUAUGUAC